rnacentral:misc_RNA from 1 species
GUAUUGUAUUGCGUUAAACGCGAAGUACAUUCCAUGAGACUUUAUUAUGGUGUGUGUGUAAAGAUGUAGGACCACAGCCAGAGGACGGAGCCCUCAAGGCCAUAGAACUACAGAGGGUGCACAGGUGUGAGUGGAUGUGUAAACAGAGCGUGCACGUGCCCUCUUUCGAGGACCAGCAACAACUCGUGUCGACAGUUCAGUAAUGAUCCUUCCGCAGGUUCACCUACGGAAA